CUAGUGAUAGAUUAUUGACGUUGCUGUUGUUCAAGGUAUUAGAGCCUGAUGGUGUCGCAGUCAGGUUAGCAAUCACGGUGGAAGGGCGUGUUUGAGUCUGGUUGGCGGUUAUGUUGGGAGGGUUUGUCUGGGUCAGGUUGGCGGUUAUGUUGGGAGGGUUUGUCUGGGUCAGGUUGGCGGUUAUGUUGGGAGGGUUUGUCUGGGUCAGGUUGGCGGUUAUGUUGGGAGGGUUUGUCUGGGUCAGGUUGGCGGUUAUGUUGGGAGGGUUUGUCUGGGACAGGUUGGCGGUUAUGUUGGGAGGGUGUGUCUGGGUCAGGUUGGCGGUUAUGUUGGGAGGGUGUGUCUGGGUCAGGUUGACGGUUAUGUUGGGAGGGUUUGUCUGGGUCAGGUUGGCGGUUAUGUUGGGAGGGUGUGUCUGGGUCAGGUUGGCGGUUAUGUUGGGAGGGUUUGUCUGGGUCAGGUUGGCGGUUAUGUUGGUAGGGUUUGUCUGGGUCAGGUUGGCGGUUAUGUUGGGAGGGUGUGUCUGGGUCAGGUUGGUGGUUAUGUUUGGAGGGUUUGUCUGGGUCAGGUUGGUGGUUAUGUUGGGAGGGUAUGUUUGGGGCAGGAUAGCGGUUAUGUUGGGAGGGUGUGUUUGGGUCAGGUUAGCGCUUAUGUUGGGAGGGUGUGUUUGGGUCAGGUUGGUGGUUGUGUUAGGAGGGUGUGUUUGAGGCAGGUUGGCGGUUAUGUUAGGAGGGUGUGUCUGGGUCAGGUUGGUGGUUGUGUUGGGAGGGUUUGUCUGGGUCAGGUUGGUGGUUAUGUUGGGAGUUUGUGUUUGGGGCAGGUUGGUGGUUAUGUUGGAAGGGUGUGUUUGUGUCAGGUUAGCGGUCAUGUUGAAAGGGCCCAUCUGGGUUGGGUUUGUGGUCAUAUUAAAAGGGCUCAUCUGGUUCGGGUUUGUGGUCAUGUUGAGAGGGCCCAUCUGGGAUAGGUUUGUAGUCAUAUUAAGAGGGCCUGUCUGGGUAAGGCUGGUGGUUAUGUUAUGAGGACCCAUCUGGGUUGGGUUUGUGGUCAUGUUAAAAGGGUUCAUUUGGUUGGGGUCUGUGGUCGUGUUUAAAGGGCUCAUCUGGUUCGGGUUUGUGGUCAUAUUGAGAGGGCCUAUCAGGGAUAGGUUUGUAGUCAUAUUAAGAGGGCCUAUCUGGGUAAGGCUGGUGGUCAUGUUGAGAGGACCAAUCUGGGUUGGGUUUGUGGUCAUGUUAAAAGGGCUUAACUGGUCGGGGUUUGUGGUCAUGUUGAGAGGGCCCAUCAGGGAUGGGUUUGUAGUCAUAUUAAGAGGGCCAGUCUGGGUAAGGCUGGUGGUCAUGUUGAGAGGACCCAUCUGGGUAAGGUUAAGGUUUAUGUUGGGAGGUCCUGUUUGAGUUAAGUUUGAAGUUAUGUUGAAGGGACCGACCUGGUUUAGGUUGGUGGUCAUGCUGGGUGGGUUCGUCUGGGUCAGGUUGGUGGUAAUGUUGGGUGGUAGUGUCUGGGUCAGGUUGGUGGUCAUGUUGGUUGGUAGCGUCUGGGUCAGGCUGGUGGUCAUGUUAGAAGAUAUCCAGCUGUCUGUAGAGUUGCUACUGCUUGUUGUAUUGCUCCCAUUGACUCCAAGCAUCAUGCAUGCUAUCCCCAGGAUAGCCACAUAAAUCCAUUUACUCCUCAUCCGUGAUCUUUAUGUGCUUAUGUAUCUGUUAAUCGUGCAGUUUUUGUUACCU
ensembl:lncRNA